rnacentral:rRNA from 1 species
UACGUAGGUGGCAAGCGUUGUCCGGAAUUACUGGGCGUACAGCGCGCGCAGGCGGUCCACUACGUGCCGUGUGACAAACGUCGGCUUAACCGACGGAGGCCAGGGUACACGGGUGAACUUGAGGCAGAGAGAGGGAUGUGGAAUACCCGGUGGAGCGGUGAAAUGCGUAGAGAUCGGGUGGAACACCAGGGGCGAAGGCGGCAGCCGGGCUCUGUUCUGACGCUGAGGCGCGAAAGCGUGGGGAGCAAACGGG